rnacentral:rRNA from 1 species
AGCGAACGUUAGCGGCGGGCCUAACACAUGCAAGUCGAGCGAGAAAGUGGCUUCGGCCACGAGUAAAGCGGCGGACGGGUGAGUAACACGUAGGUAAUCUUCCCUUGAGCGGGGGACAACGAGCCGAAAGGCUCGCUAAUACCGCAUACGUUUCCAGAGGCCCCGGUCUCUGGAAGGAAAGCUAGGCCGCAAGGUCUGGCACUCGAGGAGGAGCCUGCGUCGCAUCAGCUAGUUGGUGGGGUAACGGCCUACCAAGGCGAAGACGCGUAGCUGGUCUGAGAGGAUGAUCAGCCACACUGGGACUGAGACACGGCCCAGACUCCAACGGGAGGCAGCAGUGGGGAAUAUUGGACAAUGGGCGCAAGCCUGAUCCAGCCACGCCGCGUGAGUGAUGAAGGCCUUCGGGUCGUAAAGCUCUGUGGGGAGGGACGAACCGCUGCACGUUCAUAGCGUGCAGCAUGACGGUACCUCCUUAGCAAGCACCGGCUAACUUCGUGCCAGCCGCCGCAGUAA